rnacentral:rRNA from 1 species
AGGACGAACGCUGGCGGCGUGCUUAACACAUGCAAGUCGAGCGGUAAGGCCUUUCGGGGUACACGAGCGGCGAACGGGUGAGUAACACGUGGGUGAUCUGCCCUGCACUCUGGGAUAAGCCUGGGAAACUGGGUCUAAUACCGGAUAUGACCUGCUCUCGCAUGGGGGUGGGUGGAAAGAUUUAUCGGUGCAGGAUGGGACCCGCGGCCUAUCAGCCUGUUGGUGGGGUAAUGGCCUACCAAGGCGACGACGGGUAGCCGACCUGAGAGGGUGACCGGCCACGACUGGGACUGAGACACGGCCCAGACUCCUACGGGAGGCAGCAGUGGGAAUAUUGCACAAUGGGCGAAAGCCGUGAUGCAGCGACGCCGCGUGAGGGUGAAGGCCUCGGUUGUAAACCUCGUUUCCACGCGACGGACGAAGUGACGAAGUAGACGGUACCUCGCGAAGAAAGAAGACGAACCGACCGUAACUAACGUGCCACGCGA